GGAGGAAUAAAAAAAAACUUUCGCAAAAAUUUCGCGCAGGACGGCGAAAGUUGUGCAGUGAAAAGUGGUGUAAUAGAAAACAUCCUUAUUAAUUAGUGAAAAUUUAUCUUUUUGUCUGGAAGUUGGUUGUUGCUGUCGGGUGAUAAAAACAGUUCCAAUCAUUCACAUCAUGUGUGGAGGUUUCAGCUGUUCAAAAAAUGCAUUGAUUGCAUUAAAUAUCCUCUAUGUUAUGGUUGGAUUUCUUCUGAUCGGAGUUGGAGUUUAUGGUCGGGCUUCGUCAAUCGUAACUAACCUUCCGAUCAUCGGAGGUAUACUAGCUUGCGGAGUGAUCCUGAUCUUGAUUUCAGUUCUUGGUCUUAUUGGAGCUGUGAAGCACCAUCAAGUUAUGCUAUUCUUCUACAUGAUAAUCCUGUUCAUGCUGUUCCUGAUUCAGUUCUCGAUUGCCUGCUCUUGUUUGGCUGUAAAUCAACAACAACAGCGACAGUUCGCCGAACAGGGUUGGUCUCUGGCUCCGACAGACAUCAAACAGCAAGUACAGGAAGAGUUCUUGUGUUGUGGGUUCAACGCGACAGCCACCGACGACCAUCCAUCCUGUGCGGUAGUAAAUACUAAAUGCUGCCCAGAAGGAGCCCCUGAGGGUUGUCAAUGUACGCCAUGUAUGCCGAAGCUGGAAAGUACGAUCGAUUACGCAUUCCGCCUGUCCGGGGGAAUUGGCUUGUUUUUCAGCUUCACCGAGUUUAUCGGUGUCUGGUUGACUGUGCGCUACCGCAACCAAAAAGAUCCCCGGGGCAAUUCGAGUGCUUUCCUCUAAGAUUGGGAGGAUCCCGUAACAGAUCUUUAAGAAGUUUAAUUUCUGUUUUGUUUUGUUGAGAAUGAUUCGAGUUUGUUUUUGAAUUUGCAUUGGAUAGUUAGGAUAUUGGCACAGCGUGCGUGAUGAGAAGUGCCCAUACUAGUUUCCAACACUAAUAAUCUCUAGAUGGUAAUUUUUAAAUUCGACUGGCUUUCGUAUUUACAUAUUAUUGCCGUCUUUCUAACCCGUCGCUACCGCAACCAGCAAGAUCCGGACCAUUUGCCGGCUAGGGCAAUUUUUCCUCAAAGCAACUACGUGUACUAGGUAUUCGGCCGCUAAAGGAAAUUCAGGGAAAAUCAGACUGAUGUUUAGGGAGUGUCAGGAAUCCCAACUAAGACAUGCAGCAGGAACAACCCAAAACCAAUGGAAAACGAAAGCGAGAUUAAUACUCAUUCUGUGUAGAUUUUAUCUAGGGUUAGUUAGAUGAUUUUGAAACGAACAAUGGUUGUGCUAAUUAUUCUAAAUCCAAUGCUUUAGUUUUUUUUUAUUUAGGCAACGGAGUUUUGUUUGAGUAGUGGUAUUGUGAGUAGUUUUGCUUUUCAAUUUUCCUAAUGGGGAUGCUACGUGAAAAAGUCAUUGGAGUUUAAGUUUAUUGAUAAGUAGGGUUUUUUUUUCAAAGAAUAAUGUGAUAGCUUUAAUUUUAUAUAUUUUGUGUCUAAAACAAAUAUUCAGCUUAUUUGGCUGCAGUUGCCCUUAAUCUCACGUUGAAAAACUCCUACACAAGAUGAACGCCAUAUCUGUUUAAUAUGCGGAGCUGACAACCGUUUGACAUCGUGCGAAUCUUGGCGUUCACUCACAGUUGAGAGUAAAGAAAAGUCGGACGGGUCUCAUAUCACAUCACAUUAUUGAUCCACAAUAAAGAUGUUAAUAGAAAAGAAAAAAAUAACGCUAAAUUACGGUAUCACCUAUGCACUAGUAACGUAUACGUAAAAUUCACCAAGUGGAGUAAACGCGGCAAAGGCAGAUCACUUUUAUUUUAUUUCCACAAUCGAGCAACCGAGCAUCAAAAGCUUAGACAUGUUUUUCUUUAAAAUUAAUCUAACUGUCAAUAAUGCAAUACGCAAUAAUUGACAAUAUAGAAAAUCACAAAAGCUUAAAACAGGUAUAAACAUAAAAAAAAAUUGACGGAGUGAUUUAUCCGCGCGGGUAUGAAGACUACAACAGUACCCCAAAAAAUAGUUAAUCUACAUACAAUGUAUAAAUAAAUGGUAAUUGUUCAAAUAUGGGCUUCUGGCGCGACCUGGUUAGUAUUCCUGCACUACCUACUUUGUUCCUCAUUCAUGUUCUCACGAUUCGGCCUCGUAAUCGUUAGAAGUGAUGAUACAAAACUGCUAGUUUCUGAUUGUGGCUUCCAGGUGGUAGAAGAGAUUUCUAUUUUUUGUUUGACCGACAAAUGCCGGCAGCCGUUUUGCGUGUGGAUUUCGCUUGCUAGGCAGAAUAGUUUUGCUAACGACUAGAUAAAAAACUUUCGACUCUAACCUGAUCAAUGACAUUCGAAGCCAGGGUAAAUUGUUCUGGAUUGCAACUAUAAAUGACAACAGUGAUAGAACAAUGGCUAAUAUCAAAAAAUAAAAUCAAUUCUUACUACGUCUCAGUACGUGUUUAUUUAGUUUACACCAUAGAGAAGCAAGGUAACACUGUAAUAUAAAUAAGUAGAGUCAGCUUGAUCAGUUGCGUGAUGGUUUUGAAAAACUGUAUAGAAAAAACUACAAA